rnacentral:rRNA from 1 species
GUGGGGAAUAUUGGACAAUGGGGGGAACCCUGAUCCAGCCAUGCCGCGUGUGUGAAGAAGGCCUUUUGGUUGUAAAGCACUUUAAGCGAGGAGGAGGCUACCGAGAUUAAUACUCUUGGAUAGUGGACGUUACUCGCAGAAUAAGCACCGGCUAACUCUGUGCCAGCAGCCGCGGUAAUACAGAGGGUGCAAGCGUUAAUCGGAUUUACUGGGCGUAAAGCGCGCGUAGGUGGCCAAUUAAGUCAAAUGUGAAAUCCCCGAGCUUAACUUGGGAAUUGCAUUCGAUACUGGUUGGCUAGAGUAUGGGAGAGGAUGGUAGAAUUCCAGGUGUAGCGGUGAAAUGCGUAGAGAUCUGGAGGAAUACCGAUGGCGAAGGCAGCCAUCUGGCCUAAUACUGACACUGAGGUGCGAAAGCAUGGGGAGCAAGCAGGAUUAGAUACCCCAGUAGUCC